AGAACGCCAGUUCUCGUGGAGCCAUCCUUGAAAUACCACCCUGGCAUGCUUGAGGUUCGAACUCUGGUCCGUCAUCCGGAUCGAGGACAGUGUAUGGUGGGCAGUUUGACUGGGGCGGUCUCCUCCCAAAGAGUAACGGAGGAGUACGAAGGUGCGCUCAGACCGGUCGGAAAUCGGUCGCAGAGUAUAAAGGCAAAAGCGCGCUUGACUGCGAGACAGACACGUCGAGCAGGUACGAAAGUAGGUCUUAGUGAUCCGGUGGUUCUGUAUGGAAGGGCCAUCGCUCAACGGAUAAAAGGUACUCCGGGGAUAACAGGCUGAUACCGCCCAAGAGUUCAUAUCGACGGCGGUGUUUGGCACCUCGAUGUCGGCUCAUCACAUCCUGGGGCUGAAGCCGGUCCCAAGGGUAUGGCUGUUCGCCAUUUAAAGUGGUACGCGAGCUGGGUUUAGAACGUCGUGAGACAGUUCGGUCCCUAUCUGCCGUGGACGUUUGAGAUUUGAGAGGGGCUGCUCCUAGUACGAGAGGACCGGAGUGGACGAACCUCUGGUGUUCCGGUUGUCACGCCAGUGGCACUGCCGGGUAGCUAUGUUCGGAAGAGAUAACCGCUGAAAGCAUCUAAGCGGGAAACUCGCCUCAAGAUGAGAUCUCACUGGGAUCUUGAAUCCCCUAAAGGGCCGUCGAAGACUACGACGUUGAUAGGUUGGGUGUGUAAGCGCUGUGAGGCGUUGAGCUAACCAAUACUAAUUGCCCGUGAGGCUUGACCAU
rnacentral:ncRNA from 1 species